rnacentral:piRNA from 1 species
UAAAACAAACAAACAAACCUAGCAUGUGAC